rnacentral:rRNA from 1 species
UACGUAGGUGGCAAGCGUUGUCCGGAUUUAUUGGGUUUAAAGGGUGCGUAGGCGGCGCGGUAAGUCGGGUGUGAAAUCUCGGAGCUUAACUCCGAAACUGCAUUCGAUACUGCCGUGCUUGAGGACUGGAGAGGAGACUGGAAUUUACGGUGUAGCGGUGAAAUGCGUAGAUAUCGUAAGGAAGACCAGUGGCGAAGGCGGGUCUCUGGACAGUUCCUGACGCUGAGGCACGAAGGCCAGGGGAGCAAACGGG